GGUGGAAGGGGAGUUAUUGUUUAAUAGGUACAGAGUUUCAGUUUUGGAUGAUGAGAAAGUUCUUACAGCAGUGAUGGUUGCACAACAGUGUGAAUAUACUUAAGCCACUGAAUAGUAUACUUAAAUAUUGUUAAAUUUAUGCUCUAUUUUAUCACAAUAAAAAACACUAAAAAGAUCACAGAGGCAUUGAUUUCAUAAUUUUCUCUCUCAGCAACCAUUUUUCCUUAUUCAAUUUAUCAUUAAAUUUCAAAAUUAAAAUAUUUAAAAUUUAUGAUUGUAUAUCUGACUUUUUUCAUUUGAUCAGUAAAUCUCUCCUAUGUUAGCUUGCAAGUUCCAUGAGAGCUGGAACCUUGGUUUCUAUAUUUUUUGAGUUGUAUUAUUUGGUUUUGGUCCCCCACUGCCCACUUUAUGCCAAGCUCAAGGACUAACACCAGUAGCCACUGAAUAAAUAUCUGCUAAAUAAAUGGAUAAAACCUGCAUACCUGAUACAAUAUAAUAUGAUUUUUAAAUAAAUAUUUUAUUUUGGGAUACUUUUAGAUUUACAAAACAUUCUCAUGUAUUGCUCACCCAGUUUCCCCUAAUGUUAGCAUCUUAUAUUACCAUGGUACAUUUGUCAAAUUAAGAAGAGCAACUCUGGUUUAUUACUAUUAAAUAAAUUCCAGACUUUGUUAGGAUUUCACUACCUUUUCCAUUAAAGUUCUUUUUCUGUUCCAGGAACUAAUCCAGGAAGAUGGUUGUUCUGAUGAUACUGGUACAGAGUGAUAGUUUUCUGAACUACCAUGGUAGUUUCCUGAAUAAGGCUGUGAUGUAUCAUGCGGGAAAGGAAGUAUAAAUAUACCUCAUGUCAUCAUAAUAUUGGCAAACCGCCGGUCGAGCGAACAGGUGCGGAAGAAUCACGCCGCGGCAUCUGUGAGCAAAUGCCACAGAAAACCGAGAACAUUUUCCAACAGCUGGACACCAGUUUGAAGACAUCAGAGGAAUCACAUGACCUUCAUAUAUUUUAGAAGCAAAUAUCAAUGCCAAGUUUCUUCUUACGAAAAGCAAACAGCUCUCUCUACCAUUCUCUUCUUCCUUAAACAAAAAAAGCCAACAUCGAUGGGAUGUUUUAUAUUUAUUUAGCCAAAUAUUUUAAUACAAAAAUGAUUGUCAAAAGAUUUCAUGGUUUUUGCCUAAGGCGAAAAAUCAACACCAACACUGCAGAACUUAUGUUAGAGUUCAUAUUUACUUAUAUAUUUGUUGAUACACUAAAAUUUUAACUACUUAAAAGAAG
rnacentral:lncRNA from 1 species